rnacentral:rRNA from 1 species
AACGCUGGCGGCGUGCUAACACAUGCAAGUCGAACGAAGCAUUGUGAUUGAUUCUUCGGAUUGAUUCACUUGACUUAGUGGCGGACGGGUGAGUAACGCGUGGGUAACCUGCCGUAUGCAGGGGACAACAGUUAGAAAUGACUGCUAAUACCGCAUAACCCGCUAGUGCCGCAUGGCACAGACGGAAAAGAUUUUAUCGGCAUACGAUGGACCCGCGUCUGAUUAGCUUGUUGGUGAGGUAACGGCCCACCAAGGCGACGAUCAGUAGCCGAACUGAGAGGUUGACCGGCCACAUUGGGACUGAGACACGGCCCAGACUCCUACGGGAGGCAGCAGUGGGGAAUAUUGCACAAUGGGGGAAACCCUGAUGCAGCCAACGCCGCGUGAGUGAUGACGUAUUUCGGUAUGUAAAGCUCUAUCAGCAGGGAAGAAAAUGACGGUACCUGACUAAGAAGCCCCGGCUAACUACGUGCCAGCCGCUGC